CGCGGAGGGUUUGCGAGCCAAGGCUCUCUCUCUGUCCCCAGGGGACUCUGCAACCUGUCUAGGUGCUCCUUCCCUGCGGUGUGUGCUUGGCAAAGGUUGCUGAAAAAGUAGUUCACGCUGAAUUUUUUUCUUGAACAGGUGGUUAUUUAAAUGUUUUGAUGAUAAUAUCGUAUUACUCAUUUCCUUUGUUUCUUAGCAUAGUAACAUUCCAGGGAGCUGCCUGGGGAAGCUUAACUCUCAAUGCAGCCCAUCCAACUUAUCGUUUGCAGGAGGGAUAGUGGGCGGAAGCUGGAUUUCUGGGAAGUACAGGCCUGAGAAUACUGUGCUUGGACAAGCAUCUCCCCACCAUGAAGAGCAGCACAGAUGAAACAGAUCCAUCCUAUGACAGGCUUGGGAGUUGGCUUACUUUGUUUGCCAAUACACAAACUACCCACUGUGCACUGCUACAGUAAUAUGCACUUUGAGCCAGGUGUCAGUUCAUAUGCCAGAAUUGGCCUCUCAGAUUGUUGUCAGGAAAGUAACCCAUUGCCUUAAAAUACACUUUCCUUCUCCAGGAAAUGAUGAGGGUACAAUUGGCACUUGACCUUGGAAUGGUGUUUAAAAGGAAUAAUGCUUGUGUUACACAUAUUUUUAUUAGUUCUUCAAAACAGGAUGCAAAGUCAAGGAUUAAUUUACAUACACUUACACCAUCACACUUUGUUUUUACCCAUUCCCUGUCCC
ensembl:processed_transcript Eldr Egfr long non-coding downstream RNA